rnacentral:rRNA from 1 species
AUUUUUUUAAAAGGAGACCUUUUUUUAAAUUUUUUUUCCCGCUCAGAUUGAACGCUGGCGGCAGGCCUAACACAUGCAAGUCGAGCGGUAGCACAGAGAGCUUGCUCUCGGGUGACGAGCGGCGGACGGGUGAGUAAUGUCUGGGAAACUGCCUGAUGGAGGGGGAUAACUACUGGAAACGGUAGCUAAUACCGCAUAACGUCGCAAGACCAAAGUGGGGGACCUUCGGGCCUCAUGCCAUCAGAUGUGCCCAGAUGGGAUUAGCUAGUAGGUGGGGUAACGGCUCACCUAGGCGACGAUCCCUAGCUGGUCUGAGAGGAUGACCAGCCACACUGGAACUGAGACACGGUCCAGACUCCUACGGGAGGCAGCAGUGGGGAAUAUUGCACAAUGGGCGCAAGCCUGAUGCAGCCAUGCCGCGUGUGUGAAGAAGGCCUUCGGGUUGUAAAGCACUUUCAGCGGGGAGGAAGGCGAUAAGGUUAAUAACCUUGUCGAUUGACGUUACCCGCAGAAGAAGCACCGGCUAACUCCGUGCCAGCAGCCGCGGUAAUACGGAGGGUGCAAGCGUUAAUCGGAAUUACUGGGCGUAAAGCGCACGCAGGCGGUCUGUCAAGUCGGAUGUGAAAUCCCCGGGCUCAACCUGGGAACUGCAUUCGAAACUGGCAGGCUAGAGUCUUGUAGAGGGGGGUAGAAUUCCAGGUGUAGCGGUGAAAUGCGUAGAGAUCUGGAGGAAUACCGGUGGCGAAGGCGGCCCCCUGGACAAAGACUGACGCUCAGGUGCGAAAGCGUGGGGAGCAAACAGGAUUAGAUACCCUGGUAGUCCACGCCGUAAACGAUGUCGAUUUGGAGGUUGUGCCCUUGAGGCGUGGCUUCCGGAGCUAACGCGUUAAAUCGACCGCCUGGGGAGUACGGCCGCAAGGUUAAAACUCAAAUGAAUUGACGGGGGCCCGCACAAGCGGUGGAGCAUGUGGUUUAAUUCGAUGCAACGCGAAGAACCUUACCUGGUCUUGACAUCCACAGAACUUAGCAGAGAUGCUUUGGUGCCUUCGGGAACUGUGAGACAGGUGCUGCAUGGCUGUCGUCAGCUCGUGUUGUGAAAUGUUGGGUUAAGUCCCGCAACGAGCGCAACCCUUAUCCUUUGUUGCCAGCGGUUAGGCCGGGAACUCAAAGGAGACUGCCAGUGAUAAACUGGAGGAAGGUGGGGAUGACGUCAAGUCAUCAUGGCCCUUACGACCAGGGCUACACACGUGCUACAAUGGCAUAUACAAAGAGAAGCGACCUCGCGAGAGCAAGCGGACCUCAUAAAGUAUGUCGUAGUCCGGAUUGGAGUCUGCAACUCGACUCCAUGAAGUCGGAAUCGCUAGUAAUCGUAGAUCAGAAUGCUACGGUGAAUACGUUCCCGGGCCUUGUACACACCGCCCGUCACACCAUGGGGAGUGGGUUGCAAAAGAAGUAGGUAGCUUAACCUUCGGGAGGGCGCUUACCACUUUGUGAUCAUGACUGGGUGAUAAAAAGGCGCCCCCAAAAAACAAAAAAAAAAAAGGAAAAAAAAAAACAGCCUC